rnacentral:lncRNA from 1 species
GUUGACGGGUUUUUUACAAAAAUAAUAUAAAAAAAUAAAAAAUUACCAAAAUGUUAUAACUUUUUUUAUUUACCAAAGUAUAUAUAAUUUUUUUAUUUACCAAAAUAUAUCAAAAAAACUAAAAAACAAAAAAAAAUAAAAAAACAAAAAAAAACCUGAACCGAUUUGACAACUCCCUGGGUGGAGGGAAGCAGGUUGGCGGCACCAAACAAGGGAAGCAGGUUGACGGCACCAAUUGAGGCAACUCUGUUGGCGGCACCACCCUUGAAUUUAAGGGUGGUCAGUUGGUGGGGGGAAGAAGGAGAGGGGAAGAAGAAGAAAGAAAGGAAGAAAGAAAAAGAAGGAAAAGGAAAGGAGAGGAAAGAAAGAAAAAGAAGGAAAGAAAAGGAAAGGGGAGGAAAGAAAGAAAAAUAAGGAAAGAAAAGGAAAGGAGAAGAGAAAAAAAAAGAAAGAAGAAGAAGAGGGAAGGAAGGAAAAAAAGAAAAUAAGGUAAUUUUUAUUAUUAAUUUAAGAUUUUUGUAAUAUUU